rnacentral:rRNA from 1 species
UACGUAGGGGGCAAGCGUUGUCCGGAUUUAUUGGGCGUAAAGAGCGUGUAGGCGGCUAGAUAGGUCCGUUGUGAAAACUCGAGGCUCAACCUCGAGACGUCGAUGGAAACCAUCUGGCUAGAGUCCGGAAGAGGAGAGUGGGAAUUCCUGGUGUAGGCGGUGAAAUGCGCAGAUAUCAGGAAGAACACCAAUGGCGAAAGGGCAGGCUCCUUCUGGGGAACGGGUACUGGACGCUGAGACGCGAAAAGCGUGGGGAGCGAAAC